rnacentral:rRNA from 1 species
GUCUACGGCUAUACCACCCUGAAUGCGCCUGAUCUCAUCUGGUCUCGGAAGCUAAGCAGGGUUGGUCCUGGCUAGUACUUGGAUGGGAGGCUGCCUGGGAAUACACGGUGCUGUAGGCU